ensembl:lncRNA
GCUCCCACAAUAGCCCCCUACAGCCCCAUAUUAUUCCCCUGCUCCCUACAGCCACAUAGCACCCCAUGUCCUUUCUACAGCCCUAAAACCCUCCCUACAGUCCCCCAGUCCCUAAAGCCCAAUCUCCCCUUACAGCUCCCCACAGACCCACACUGGCCCUAGAUCCCCUCCAGAGCCCUCCACACUCUCCCAUAUCCAACCUCAUAUCCCCCUAGAACCCUUCUAGACUCCAUAUCUCCCCUGUAUCCCCACAGACACCCUAUAUCCUCCCUCAGGCCCCCACCAUCUCCCACAGCAUUCCCUAGAGCCCCCCCCAACCCCUAGCACCCUCAACCCUCCCACAUGUUGCCACAAACCCCCAGAGCCACAUAUCCCCCUCGAACACACCUAUAGCCCUUACAGUCCCCUCAUAGAACCCUGUAGCUCCUCCCAAAGCCCCCUACACACCCAUAUCACCCCUAUACCCCCACAGCCCCUAGAGAAAAAAAUCCCCCUAUAUCCCCCAUAUAGCCCUAAAACUCUUCCUAAAGCCCCCACAGCACCCUAGAGCCCCAUAUCCCCCAAUAGCUCCCCACAGAUCCCUAGAUCCCAACCACAGACCCCAUUUCCCACAUACCCAAAUACACCUACUACAGUCCCCCACAGCUUUCCAGAGCCCCAUAGCCCACCAAGAGACACAAUUAAGCUCCCUAAAGACUCACACACCUAUACAGCCACCCCUUAAGCCACACCAAUAGCCCCCCUCUUAUCUUCCUACAACUCCCACACAGCCCUAUAUCCCUCUGCAGCCCCCCUAAAGCCCCCAAUAAUCUUACAUCCCUCCCGAUAGCCCCCACAGACCACUACAGCCCCAUAUCCCCCAGUAUCCACCCCUAUAACCCACUACAGCCCCCUGUCACCCCAAAGCACUACCCUAUAUCCCCUUACAGUCCCCUUUCUCCCUAGAGGAUCCCCAUGGCCCCUCACACCCUCCCUGGAUUCCCAACACAGCCCCCUACAGCCCCAUCUCCUACAACCCACGCACAGCCCUACAUCCCUCUAUAGCACCCCCUGUGGCCCCACAUCCCUCCAUCCCCCUCUAUUCCCAAAACCCACCGAUAUCCCCAUAUCCCUCGAGAUCCCCACACAGCACCCUACAGCCCCAUAUCCUCCCACAUCCCCCAAUAGCCCCCAAAGCCCCUCAGCUCCCACAUCCCCACCACACCUCCCCCACUGCCCCUCCACCC